AUUCCGUUACAGGCUAGAUUUUCU
rnacentral:sRNA from 1 species